AUGAACGCUAGCUACAGGCUUAACACAUGCAAGUCGAGGGGCAGCAUGGUCUUAGCUUGCUAAGGCCGAUGGCGACCGGCGCACGGGUGAGUAACACGUAUCCAACCUGCCGUCUACUCUUGGACAGCCUUCUGAAAGGAAGAUUAAUACAAGAUGGCAUCAUGAGUCCGCAUGUUCACAUGAUUAAAGGUAUUCCGGUAGACGAUGGGGAUGCGUUCCAUUAGAUAGUAGGCGGGGUAACGGCCCACCUAGUCUUCGAUGGAUAGGGGUUCUGAGAGGAAGGUCCCCCACAUUGGAACUGAGACACGGUCCAAACUCCUACGGGAGGCAGCAGUGAGGAAUAUUGGUCAAUGGGCGAGAGCCUGAACCAGCCAAGUAGCGUGAAGGAUGACUGCCCUAUGGGUUGUAAACUUCUUUUAUAAAGGAAUAAAGUCGGGUAUGGAUACCCGUUUGCAUGUACUUUAUGAAUAAGGAUCGGCUAACUCCGUGCCAGCAGCCGCGGUAAUACGGAGGAUCCGAGCGUUAUCCGGAUUUAUUGGGUUUAAAGGGAGCGUAGAUGGAUAUUUAAGUCAGUUGUGAAAGUUUGCGGCUCAACCGUAAAAUUGCAGUUGAUACUGGAUAUCUUGAGUGCAGUUGAGGCAGGCGGAAUUCGUGGUGUAGCGGUGAAAUGCUUAGAUAUCACGAAGAACUCCGAUUGCGAAGGCAGCCUGCUAAGCUGCAACUGACAUUGAGGCUCGAAAGUGUGGGUAUCAAACAGGAUUAGAUACCCUGGUAGUCCACACGGUAAACGAUGAAUACUCGCUGUUUGCGAUAUACUGCAAGCGGCCAAGCGAAAGCGUUAAGUAUUCCACCUGGGGGGUACGCCGGCAACGGUGAAACUCAAAGGAAUUGACGGGGGCCCGCACAAGCGGUGGAGUAUGUGGUUUAAUUCGACGCAACGCGAAGAACCUUACCAGGUCUUGACAUUGAUCGCUAUUCCAAGAAAUUGGAAGUUCCUCUUCGGAGGACGAGAAAACAGGUGGUGCACGGCUGUCGUCAGCUCGUGUCGUGAGAUGUUGGGUUAAGUCCCGCAACGAGCGCAACCCUUGUUGUCAGUUACUAACAGGUUCCGCUGAGGACUCUGACAAGACUGCCAUCGUAAGAUGUGAGGAAGGUGGGGAUGACGUCAAAUCAGCACGGCCCUUACGUCCGGGGCUACACACGUGUUACAAUGGGGGGUACAGAGGGCCGCUACCACGCGAGUGGAUGCCAAUCCCCAAAACCUCUCUCAGUUCGGACUGGAGUCUGCAACCCGACUCCACGAAGCUGGAUUCGCUAGUAAUCGCGCAUCAGCCACGGCGCGGUGAAUACGUUCCCGGGCCUUGUACACACCGCCCGUCAAGCCAUGGGAGCCGGGGGUACCUGAAGUGCGUAACCGCGAGGAGCGCCCUAGGGUAAAACUGGUGACUGGGGCU
rnacentral:rRNA from 1 species